GACAGAGGCCUCGAGCGUUAGGCGGAAUCACUGGGCUUAAAGCGUGUGUAGGCGGAUCGUUAAGUACCUUGUGAAAUCCCACGGCUCAACCGUGGAACGGCUGGGUAUACUGGCGGUCUUGAGCAGCCUAGGGGCGACCGGAACAAACGGUGGAGCGGUGAAAUGCGUAGAUAUCUGGGAGGAACACCGGUGGCGAAGGCGGCAUCCUGGACCAACACUGACGCUGAGU
rnacentral:rRNA from 1 species